CUCAAUGGUGCAGGAGGUAGAGGAAGUCACCGGAGCAGUCAACAGGAUCAUCUCCGAAAGGAUCCAUAUGCCAAUCUCAUGUUGCAGCGUGAAAAGGACUGGGUCUCUAAAAUCCAGAUGAUGCAACUGCAAAGCACUGAUCCCUAUCUGGAUGAUUUUUAUUACCAGAAUUACUUUGAAAAACUGGAGAAAUUGUCAGCUGCUGAAGAAAUGCAAGGUGAUGGCCCUAAAAAGGAGCGCACUAAGGCCCUCAGGUGGCCAAACUGGAGCAUGCCUAUAAGCCAGUGUAGUUUGAGGGCUCUUUGGGAAAGCUCACUGUCUCUAGUGUGAAUAAUCCCUGAAAAAUGAUUGAUGCUGUUGUGACAUCUCGGAGUGAGGAUGAUGAGACAAAAGAAAAACAGGCUCGAGACAAGAGAAGAAAAACCCUUGUCAUAAUUGAGAAAACCUUUAGUUUACUCCUUGAUGUAGAGGAUUAUGAAAGGCGUUAUCUCCUAAGUCUAGAAGAAGAGCGACCUGCCUUGAUGGAGGAGAGAAAGCACAAAAUUCGUAGCAUGUAUGACAACUUAAGGGGGAAAUUGCCUGGACAAGAGAGGCCAAGUGAUGACCACUUUGUACAGAUCAUGUGUAUCCAAAAAGGGAAGAGAAUGGUUGCCCGUAUUCUUCCUUUCUUCUCCACAGAGCAAGCAGCUGACAUUCUCAUGACAACAGCCAGGAACCUCCCUUUCCUUAUCAAGAAGGAUGCACAAGAUGAGGUGCUGCCAUGCUUACUGAGUCCCUUCUCUCUUCUCCUCUUCAUCUUCCAUCAGUGACUGUCACCAGCCUUCUGCAACAGCUAAUGAACCUACCUCAAAGUGCAGCUGCACCAGCACCCUCCAAUCCUCACCUCACUGCUGUGCUCCAGAAUAAGUUUGGCCUGUCACUGCUCCUCAUCCUCCUGAGCCAUGGAGAAGACCUACAGAGUUCAGACUCUGCCACAGAAUCAGUGCAAAAUAAUCAGUGGACAGAGGUGAUGUUCAUGGCAACCCGAGAACUUAUACGGAUUCCCCAAGCAGCCCUGGCCAAGCCAAUCUCUAUACCCACAAACCUAGUAUCCCUCUUUUCUCGCUAUGUUGACCGGCAGAAACUGAACUUGCUGGAGACAAAACUGCAGUAAGUUUGGAAC